CAGCAGCCGCGGGAAUACGUAGGUGGCAAGCGUUGUCCGGAAUUAUUGGGCGUAAAGGGCUCGCAGGCGGUUUCUUAAGUCUGAUGUGAAAGCCCCCGGCUCAACCGGGGAGGGUCAUUGGAAACUGGGAAACUUGAGUGCAGAAGAGGAGAGUGGAAUUCCACGUGUAGCGGUGAAAUGCGUAGAGAUGUGGAGGAACACCAGUGGCGAAGGCGACUCUCUGGUCUGUAACUGACGCUGAGGAGCGAAAGCGUUGGGAGCGAACAGGAUUAGAUACCCCCGUAGUCCCUGUCUCUUAUAC
rnacentral:rRNA from 1 species